rnacentral:rRNA from 1 species
UACGUAGGGGGCUAGCGUUGUCCGGAAUCAUUGGGCGUAAAGAGCGUGUAGGCGGCCCGGUAAGUCCGCUGUAAAAGUCAAAGGCUCAACCUUUGAAUGUCAGUGGAUACUGCCGGGCUAGAGUCCGGAAGAGGCGAGUGGAACUCCUGGUGUAGCAGUGGAAUGCGCAGAUAUCAGGAAGAACACCAACGGCGAAGGCAGCUCGCUGGGACGGUACUGACGCUGAGACGCGAAAGCGUGGGGAGCGAACAGG